AUUGAACGCUGGCGGCAGGCCUAACACAUGCAAGUCGAGCGGAUGAGGGAAGCUUGCUUCCCGAUUUAGCGGCGGACGGGUGAGUAAUGCCUAGGAAUCUGCCUAUUAGUGGGGGAUAACGUUCCGAAAGGAACGCUAAUACCGCAUACGUCCUACGGGAGAAAGUGGGGGAUCUUCGGACCUCACGCUAAUAGAUGAGCCUAGGUCGGACUAGCUAGUUGGUGGGGUAACGGCUCACCAAGGCGACGAUCCGUAGCUGGUCUGAGAGGAUGAUCAGCCACACUGGAACUGAGACACGGUCCAGACUCCUACGGGAGGCAGCAGUGGGGAAUAUUGGACAAUGGGCGAAAGCCUGAUCCAGCCAUGCCGCGUGUGUGAAGAAGGUCUUCGGAUUGUAAAGCACUUUAAGUUGGGAGGAAGGGUUGUAAGCUAAUAUCUUGCAGCUUUGACGUUACCAACAGAAUAAGCACCGGCUAACUCUGUGCCAGCCGCCGCGGUAAUAC
rnacentral:rRNA from 1 species